rnacentral:rRNA from 1 species
UGCAGUCGAGCGGUAGGCCCUUCGGGGUACACGAGCGGCGAACGGGUGAGUAACACGUGGGUGAUCUGCCCUGUACUUCGGGAUAAGCCUGGGAAACUGGGUCUAAUACCGGAUAUGACCUCGGGAUGCAUGUCUUGGGGUGGAAAGAUUUAUCGGUGCAGGAUGGGCCCGCGGCCUAUCAGCUUGUUGGUGGGGUAAUGGCCUACCAAGGCGACGACGGGUAGCCGACCUGAGAGGGUGACCGGCCACACUGGGACUGAGACACGGCCCAGACUCCUACGGGAGGCAGCAGUGGGGAAUAUUGCACAAUGGGCGGAAGCCUGAUGCAGCGACGCCGCGUGAGGGAUGACGGCCUUCGGGUUGUAAACCUCUUUCGACAGGGACGAAGCGCAAGUGACGGUACCUGUAGAAGAAGCACCGGCCAACUACGUGCCAGCAGCCGCGGUAAUACGUAGGGUGCGAGCGUUGUCCGGAAUUACUGGGCGUAAAGAGCUUGUAGGCGGUUCGUCGCGUCGAUCGUG